rnacentral:lncRNA from 1 species
CUGGGCUUUCUACGCCUGCAUGACAGGGGCCUGCUCAUACCCUUCCUCCCUACCCCUAAAAAAAUCUAAGAAGAAGAAAAAAACACCUUUCUCCUCCAGCCGUUGCCGGCGGGGCCCCAUCCGCGGCGAAGUCGCCGGUGAGCUGGGCCGUCUGGCCGCAGGGCAUUUCCGUCGCCAUAUCUGGCGCCCAGUACCACGUAUUUCCACCGCGCUCCAUCAGCAGCCGCACCGCCCCUAAUCGCCGGCCUCCAGCGAGGGGAACCGCGUUGCCGUCUUCGGUUUGAUCCCCCUCAAUCCUCGUCGGUGGAGGUAAGUAAACAACUCCCUUUUCAAUUACUCGCUCGGCCAGCAAUUCGAUGAUGAAACACCCACACAUGGGUUCUUCAGUAGGGACAAGCAUGGCAAGGUCAAGGUCUCAAGGAUAAGGUUUGGGAUGAACCACAUGAACGUCAGGCAGGUCAUUAGGUCAAUAUAACCUCUGUAUUGCAAUUUACGCGAUGAUUUGGUGCACCGGCAUUGCAUUAUAUGGUGAGCCGAAAACCAAAUGGGAUUAAACAUGGCAUAACUGAUGUAGUGAUGUAGUGAUCUCUGUAUGUAGAUGUAGUGAUGUGUGUGUAUAUGUUAUGCUGAUGUAGUAAUGUAGUGAUGUCUUGGUAUAGUAGGACAUUUUCAUGGCUUGGGUUCAUCAGUCGGUGGGUGGUUCAGAGAAAAAACCAAUAAUUAGGAGGCAUCAUUAUAGUUGACAAGUUUCCUUACCAUUCUAGUUCUUGCCCCGUGAUUAUUUUGUCACGAAGCUUAUCUUGGCUAUCAAACCAUCGACCGGCAUCCGGCCUCCUCCUCCUCCUACUCAGCAUUUCCAACACAACAGUGCCACAGCCGUAAACAUCUGACUUGAAAGAUAUUGUUCCAAACUUCAGAAAAUAUUAUAGCAUUUAAAUAUUUCUGAGUACGACAAGUUAAACAGUUGAAAGCCGUAUUUUUCAUCUUUUGAGAAAGCCGAGCCAUCUUUUUAGACAUAAGAACUUGAUGCACAUCACUAACUCCUCUGCCCUCUGGUGACUAUUGUAUAGCAAAUCUCUCAUUGUGCAGUUUUUUUCCUUAAAAAAACUCUGAAUUUCAGCAGUCCCCACAAAACGAGUCAUUUAUCUGAAACAGAAGUUCUACUAUUACAGAAGUGUGUUAAGUUCAUUUGUAACCCUCUUCGUACAAGAAGAAAUUUUGUCAGAUCUACAUGAUGUCCACUCCAUAUAAAACUGAAGUACUAUCACAUAGGAACUGUGAAGCAACAAAGAGAGCUUAGGGACCAUAAAGGAACUUCCUGCCUUUCCAAACUUAGUGGAUUAUUGAGAGUACAAUAAGCACUUGUUGAUACUAAACAUUUGGUGUUUAUUAGUCUCUCGAAGUCCCAAUUUGCUUUCAUAUGGUCCAUUUCUCAGCUUUCCCUGCACAUGUGAAAAUUUUAAACAUGCUAUUAAUUUCAAGUACAAUUACUAGAAACAGAUUUGCAACGGGAGAAACUGGACAAAACAAUAAAAUUGACUCAUUCGUCUGUUUUAGAGACCAAGACGAAGAGGGCUAAAAAUGUCUUAUUCACAAUGAUGGUUCUGCGGUUCCUGUGCAACAGAGAAGGAUGGCCAGAGCCUUGUUAUCUUGGGUUCUCUGGCCAAUAUGUAAAGAAUGCAAACUAGGCAUCUUAGUAUCUCUGGAGUGCUGAAGCAGCAACAUUGACUUCACCGUUGAUCAAGUCCUUGAAGUGCCUCCCUCACUGGUGAAUACGGUUACAGGGCUGGGAUAGUGUUAGGUUUAGAAGAACCUCAUGGGGGAAAACCCAGGAAAUAUGGAUCAAGAUCGAAGAUCCGUGUGGCACUGUGACCUUAAUCUAUGAAAAUGAUAUAUGUGUGUGGCUACUGGAAAAAUCUAGGCAAUUUACAGUUAUGUUAUGAACUUUGCAAGAUAAAUUUUAAUCUGAGUUCCUCCUCCUGCUCACAUCUUUGCAAGCUAAGAAUCUGAAUUCUUUGUAUUGAAAAUGUAGCAAAAUCCUUUCAGUCAGUGGAAGGAAGAAUAAACAUCUCAUCAAUUAUCAACACUUUUUGGUUAUCUGGGAUGUUUAAGAAAGAGCAAAAAUUUAUCAAUGCGUGUACAUUUUACAGUUUGCUCGUAACGUCUUACAAUAGAUUUGAGCUACCUUUUCUCCAUUUGAGGAAAUCAAGCUGUACCUAAUUUCAACAAAAUCAAGUGGGCAAGCUGCAGAACAUAAAGGCACUUGCGGUAACUAACAUACCAGACUGCCCAUUUACUUCUCUGCUUUAUUGGAGCAAUGACAAUUUUACAACAUGUUAGUAAUUUUUAAUUUCAACCAUGAUAACUCAAACUAGAUUUGCGCUACAGGUGGAGCUGAAGAGCAAUGCAUGUGGAGCUCAAAGGAACACAAAUGAUUUCAUCUGUUGUGGAUCAAAGAAGGUUUGCAAUACUGAUAUAUUAUGCAGGUUAGCAUAACUCAAAAGUUGUAAUAAUUUGAGAAAAUACAACAGACCAUGAAUUCUGUUUUACAUAAGAGAAUCUCCUACGCACAAUCUAAUUGCCUACCUUGUCUGAAUUGUCUCUGUUUCACCUGGGGCCUGAUACAUCUGAGGCUAGAGGUGGCGCUGAAGAGCUCACAUUUCCUGUUCUACCAAAAUUUGCUGGAGUUGUUACAACAAAGUUAUGCUCUAUGUUGAGGUCUGCAGUCAUGACACCUUCCAAUACUUUUACCACCUCAGACAUUUUAGGCCUUUUUUUGCAAUCAAUCUGCAAGCACCACAUUGCAAGCAUCAUCAUCUGAAUGCAUCUUGCUUGUGUGCUUGCAUGUCGUUGCUGUUAUUGUCAAUCAAAUCUACCAACUGAUCAUUCUUUACCUUUUCCUCCAAUAGGCUGAUGAGAUGGAUGCUCUCUUCUGACCGGGAAGUGUCGAGGUUCUUUCUUCCACUGAUGAUUUCCAUGACCACGACGCCGAAGCUGUAGAUAUCCGCCUUUUCUGUGAUCUGUGAUGUCAACCAUUCAGGAGCUAAAUAUCCAGGCGUGCCUCUCAUUCCGGUAACCACUUGGCUCAUAUCCCUGUCUAUGAGUUUGCAUAGUCCAAAAUCAGAAAGUUUAGCAUUAAAGUCAUCAUCUAAGAGGAUGUUUUGUGGUUUGACAUCCAAAUGAGCAAUUCGUUUUGUGCACUCCUCGUGAAGAUAAGAGAGGCCCUUAGCUAUAUGAGUUAUAAUCUUGCACCGCGUGCUCCAAUCCAGAGGAGAAGCAUCAUUGUCAUGUCGGCAAUAGAUCCAUCUGUCCAAGGAUCCUUUGGGCAUGUACUCAUAUACCAAGAGCCUGUGGGAUUUCUCUGCACAGAAACCAAUCAAUCUCACCAGAUUAAUAUGAUGAAUGCUGCCAAUUGUCUGAACUUCUGCCGAAAAUUCUCUUUUGCCCUGACCAGUUCGAUCCAAACGUUUUACUGCAAUCCUUUCAUCAGCAAAUUGACCCUUGAAAACAGACCCAAAUCCUCCUUCCCCGAGCUUGUCUUUGAACUGCUCGGUUGCUGCUCUUAGCUGUUGAAAUGUGAACCUCAUUGGUGUUCCUUGUAGCUCCCCAAACUCUUCCUCUUCUUCCAUCUCAUGUUGUUGUUGUGUUCUUCGUUUACAUAUAAAGAAGGCGACGAGGAACAAGAUGGUGAGAAAAAUGAAGCCGCCUACAGGAGGUAGAAUUGCAACAACUCUUCUUCCAGAGGGGGAUUUCGGUUUCAUGCUUGUUGGCCCAAUAGUUGUAGGUAGAGUACUUGGGGUCGGAGGUGUUGCCUUGGCUGGGGGUGCAGGCAGGGGACUUUCAGCUGUAGGUGAGAGUGUUUGAUUAAUCAGGGGACAGAAGAUGACCUGGUACUUUGUGCCCGACGGGCAAGAGUAAGUGGAUGUAUCAUCAGGCUUGCUGUAGGCAUCUGGGCACAUCUGCUUAACGAAGGCCGAGUAACUUGUGUUGCAACGGCUUGCCGUGCUCCCAGUACAUGCAUUGCUACACCCUCCCGGAGCCUCCAGCUCUCUUGGGCACUGCGAUGUGAUGUUGGCUGCACAACGCGGCCCCUUGCUGCACCCUGACCUUCCCUGAAUCGGCACCGGCAGGAAGUCCAUGGGCACGUUGAAGCCAUCAAUGAGCGAGAUGUCGAAGAAAUCAUCAACACUUUGGCCUUGGCCAAGACUGAACUCGCCCAGCGUGCUUGGCGAUCGACCACUGGCCGUACAUGCGAGCAAGCCGCUGCAGUCACCAGUUUGGCAUGACCCGCCUUCGUCAAGGAGUGAGCAGCCUGUGCGCGGCCAGAUGCGCCCUGUUGAGGUACCAGCGGGCAUGUUCAGCGCCCAUGUCUCCCCCGGAUCGAGCUUCACGCCACCUCCCGGCAGAGCGGCUGGCCACACGGUGUAGGAGCAUUGGUUGAUGAUUUUGAAUGUGGUGGCCUCGCUGGUGGCUGCGAGUAGGAGUACGAGGAGGAGAGGGAGGAGGUGGAGACACGAAGAGGUACUCGCCACUGCCAUUUUUGGUACGAUUUUUUUGCUUGCACGCGUUAACUUGAAACACAGUCUGAGUUGGAAACUUGCAAUAGGGUUCCUGUGAUGGCUAACAGGGUGGAAGAGUGGUAGGGGAUUGUAGAUAGGGACUGCAUCUGUGUGUUGAUUCAUUCAACGGUCAGCAAAAAAACAGCCUAACAUGCCUAUAGCCAUGACUGUUUGAUAGGAACAGACUUGCUUGUUUGCUUGUUUAGUCCCUUUUGAAUUGUAGCUGUACGUCUUCCAAAGAAAAAGAAUGGGAAUCUUUGCAUCUGCAUAACGUGUUGUUUGAUCAAUUUUUCUGCCUAACAAAUUCUUUAAGCUGAUGUAGACCUAAACCCUAAACCCUAACUGCGCACUUUUCUGCCUUUAAGGAAAUUGUUAGGUUGCACAUCUUAAUUUGUUCAUUCCUAAUCUGCUGUUAUGAUUUGUCACGUCAUUCCUGAUCUGGAAUCUGGAGUCACCAACAGUUUAGAGGUAAUCUGGUGUUUGGGGGCAAAGCUGAAGCUGACAGCGGUUGGCAGCUGCCUCGAAGCAGCUGGAGGCCUCCUUCACCCGUCGACGACUGGCCUAGCUAUCAUACGCCGUCAACCACAUGGAACCAUGCAUGCAUGUCUCACUCAUCAUAACUGUUAGACCGGCAUAUUAGGGGCUUAGUCCAGUGGGCUGUGACCCAAGUUAUUUUAUAGUUAUUAGGGGUUUAGCCCAAUUAUCUUAUCGUUAUUAGGGUCGUUUGCUUAGGUGUCAAGUAAACCUCCUUAUAUAAGGAGAGGAGAUGUAUCAAUCUAAUUAAGUAAGAAGUAAUCAGUAUUUGCUCAGCUUCCCUUAGGGAGCCGGGAGACCUAACCCUAGCUGCCUCUUGCACCGCCGCCGUCUCUUCUCCACCACGCAAGGACGGCGCCCAGCCGCCGGCCGCCGCGCCCUCGACCUCGUCUUCCUCCAUCUUUCUCCUACAAUCUCCGCCCUAGAACCGGCAGAACCCUAGCUCCUAACACUUUGGUAUCAGGUAGCUCAGUUUCGAUCAUGUCUUCGCCGCCGCCCAUCCCGUCGCUUCCGCUGCCGACCGUCACCACCGCGCCGCUGCUCUCCCCGUCCGCGCCGCUGGUCGCAUCCUCCGGUGCCACCACCACCCAGAUGACGAUGCCCUCCACCGCACCACCGGCCGCCGUCUACUCCCCGGCGGAGAUCACCGGGGUCCUCAACGAUCUCGUCACCGCCGUCCAGGGGAUACGGCUAUACCUAGCCGGCCCCUACGGGCCGCCGGCCGCCGCGACCGGCCCAGCCGCCCUGCCAUGGUAUUCGGCACCCGCGGCGCCGACCGGGCCUCUACACCACCACUGGCCGGUUUAGCCGCCGCCCGCCGCCGCGCCCCAAUGGCCGCAGUGGCCGGCGCCGGCCCUCGCCGCGUCACCCACGCUACCCGGGUCCUCGCCGCCACCGCCCUGGCAGCCCUGGUAGCCGUCGGACCCCAGGGCCACCGCGACGCUGGUUGGGCCACUACAGCCCUCGCUGCAGCUACAACCAGCCCCCGCCACCGCCCCGAUCUGGCCACAAUGGUUGGCCCCGGCCAUCGCCGCGCCCGCCGCCUCCGCCGUUUCCAGGCAGCAGCAGCUGCCACUGCCGGCGCCUCCGCCGCCCAGCACCGGGCUGACUACAACCGCGCCGGCGGGCGUGCCGAUUCAGCAAGUGCGGUACCCGCCCUCGCCGUCCCAGCUUCCGGCCUGGUUGGCCGGGACGUCACCGCCGCCAGUCUACACCGUGGCCGCGGACCAGCAGGCGCCCUCCCUGCCGUAUGACGGGCCCUCCGGCUCCACAGGUUUCCACACUGGCUUCGACGGGUCAUCGCUUUCCUGCGGACCACCUGUGCACAACGGACCAACACCAUCUUCUUCGCUGCUCCAUAUCGCCGAGCCAUACACUCACGCGGUCAUGCUCAGACGCAGGCAAGGCUUUUGCAUCUUUCAACAAAAGAAAAGAAAAAGCUUCGGACCCGGCCUGUGAUGUAUGAACUCUUAAUGUGGCUGUCAUUAAGAGCCUAUAGAAUAAAUUAAGUUCUUUUUUUGUGAUGUAUGAACUCUUAAUUUAUAUACUAACGAAUAAAUUAAGUUCUGCUGUAGAGCAAGAAGGUUUGUAAUGUUAAAACAUUUUGUAUGUAAAAUUAACUCAAGAGAAGCGGCUUUAGAUUGUACUAAUUUAGAAAGAUUCAACAUACAAAUCUUUUACUCAUUUCACUUGGCACGUGAUACAAUGGACAAAUCUUUCACUCCAGAUAAGCGGUUCAUAUUUUCAUUGUCCUAUUAUUCUAUUUUUAGUUUUAAAUUCAUGAAUAUUUUUAAAAACUUGUGAACAUUUUGAAUUAAUUAAAAUAAUUUGAAUUUAUGAAGUUUUAUAAGUAGAAAAAUAUUUUUAACUCGUGGACAUUUUUAAAUUUGAAUAAACUGACCGAAAUAAAAAAACCAGCUAGAAAAAUCGCUGAAAUAGAAACAGAGCUUUUUUAGUGCUUUUUUAGGCAUAUUUUUUUGAGGUGUUUAUGAGGGAUAAAUAGAAAGAGAGCUUUUUUAUCAGGGGUUGCGACAUUCCGUGGGCUGCAUAGAUCGGGCCAUAUACGCCCGCAUGAGGCAGGGGCCUGCGCUCAAGAAAAGAAUAACUUUUGUCUCAAAAAGAAUUAACCUUUCUCCUCCAGCCAUUGCCGGCGGCGCCCCCAUCCGCGGCGAAGUCGCCGGUGAAGUUGGUCAUCUGGCCGCAGGGCAUUUCUGUCGCCAUAUCUGGCGCCCAGUACCACGUAUUUCUACCGCGCUCCAUCAGCAGCCGCGCCGCCCCUAAUCGCCGGCCUCCAGCGAGGGGAACCGCGUUGCCGUCUUUCGGUUUGAUCCCCCUCAAUCCUCAUCGGUGGAGGUAAACUCCCUUAUCAAUUACUCACUCGGGCAGAAAUUCGAUGAUGAAACACUCACGCAUGGGUUCUUCAGUAGGGACAAGCAUGGCAGGUCAAGGAUAAGGUUUGGGAUGAACCACAUGAAGCGUCAGGCAGGUCAAUAUAACCUCUGUAUUGCAAUUUACGCGAUGAUUUGGUGCAACGGCAUUGCAUUAUAUGGUGAGCCGAAAACCAAAUGGGAUUAAACAUGGCAUAGCUGAUGUAGUGAUGUCUAUAUGUCUUGCUGAUGUAGUGACGUAGUGAUCUCUGUAUGUCUUGGUAUAGUUGGACAUUUUCAUGGCUUGGGUUCAUGGUUGGCGGGUGGUGCAGAGAAAAAACCAAUCAUCAGGAGGCAUCAUUAUAGUUGACAAGUUUCCUUACCGAUUCUAGUCCUUGCCCUGUGAUUAUUUUGUCACGAAGCUUAUCUUGGUUAUCAAACCAUGGACCGUCAUCCGAGCUCCACCUACUCAGCAUUUCCAACACAACCGUGCGACAGCCGUAAACAUCUGACUUGAAAGAUAUUGUUCCGAAGUUCAGAAAUUAUUAUACUCCAUCCGUCUCCAAAUAAGUGUCGUUGAUGUAGUACAAAGUCGUACUAAUUUUGUACUAAAUCAGCGACACUUAUUUUGGGACGCAGGGAGUAGCAUUUAAAUAUUUUCUGAGCACGACAAGUUAAACAGUUGAAAGCCAUAUUUUCCAUCUUUUGAGGAAGCCGAGCCAUCUUUUUAGACAUAAGAACAGGAUGCAUAUCACUACCUCCUCUGCCCUCUGGUCAUUGUGCAGUUUUUCAUUCAAAAAACUCUGAAUUUCAGCAGUCCCCACAAAAUGAGUCAUUUUUCUAGACAGAGGUUUCACCAUUGGAGAACUGUGUGCAAAGUCCAUUUUUUUGCCCUCUUCUGGAUUUUUUCUGUUAUGUCUGUAUGAUGGCCGCUCCAUAUAAAACUGGAGUAUUACAUAGGAACUGUGAAGGAACAAAGAGAGCUUAGAGAUGAUUAAAGGAACUCCCUGCCUUUCCAAACUUAGUGGAUUAUUGUUAGUACAAAAAGCACUUGUUGAUACUAAACAUUUGGUGUUUAUUAGUGUCUCGAAGUCCCAAUUUGCUUUCAUACGGUGCAUCUCUCUGCUUUCUCCACACAUGUGGAAAAUUUCAAGCUUAUUCGUCCAGCCCAGGAAAGAAUGCAAAAUUUCAAGUACAAUUACUAGAAACAGAUUUGCAAUGGGAGAAACUGGACAAAACAAUAAAAUUGACUUAUUCGUCUGUUGUAGAGGCUCAGAAGCUGCUUGGAAUCAGCUCAAGACCAAGACGUCUUUACUGACGAAAAUGUCUUAUUCACAAUGAUGGUUCUGCGGUUCCCGUGCAACAGAGAAGGAUGGCCAGAGCCUUGUUAUCUUGGGUUCUCUGGCCAAUAUGUAAAGAAUGCAAACUAGGCAUCUU